rnacentral:rRNA from 1 species
CUAGGAAUCUUGGGAAUGGGCGAAAGCCUGACCCAGCAACGCCGCGUGGGCGAUGAAGGCCUUCGGGUCGUAAAGCCCUUUUGCGAGGGAAGAUGAUGACGGUACCUCGCGAAUAAGCCACGGCUAACUACGUGCCAGCAGCCGCGGUAAUACGUAGGUGGCGAGCGUUGUCCGGAUUUACUGGGCGUAAAGGGCGUGCAGGCGGUUUGUUAAGUCUAGGGUGAAAGCUCCCGGCUCAACUGGGAGAGGUCCUUGGAUACUGGCAGACUUGAGGAGAGUAGAGGAGAGUGGAAUUCCCGGUGUAGUGGUGAUAUGCGUAGAUAUCGGGAGGAACACCAGUGGCGAAGGCGGCUCUCUGGGCUCUACCUGACGCUGAGACGCGAAAGCGUGGGGAGCGAACCGG